rnacentral:rRNA from 1 species
CCUACGGGUGACAGCAGUAGGGAAUAUUGCUCAAUGGGGGAAACCCUGAAGCAGCAACGCCGCGUGGAGGAUGAAGGUUUUCGGAUUGUAAACUCCUUUUGUUAGAGAAGAUAAUGACGGUAUCUAACGAAUAAGCACCGGCUAACUCCGUGCCAGCAGCCGCGGUUAUACGGAGGGUGCAAGCGUUACUCGGAAUCACUGGGCGUAAAGAGCGCGUAGGCGGGAUAGCAAGUCAGAUGUGAAAUCCUAUGGCUUAACCAUAGAACUGCAUUUGAAACUGGUAUUCUAGAGUAUGGGAGAGGUAGGUGGAAUGCUUGGUGUAGGGGUAAAAUCCGUAGAGAUCAAGAGGAAUACUCAUUGCGAAGGCGACCUGCUAGAACAUAACUGACGCUGAUGCGCGAAAGCGUGGGGAGCGAACAGGAUUAGAUACCCGGGUAGUC